rnacentral:rRNA from 1 species
UACAGAGGUCUCAACCGUUGUUCGGAUUCAUUGGGCGUAAAGGGUGUGUAGGUGGCGCCGUAAGUCGGGUGUGAAAUUUCGGAGCUUAACUCCGAAACUGCAUUCGAUACUGCGGUGCUUGAGGACUGGAGAGGAGACUGGAAUUCAUGGUGUAGCAGUGAAAUGCGUAGAGAUCAUGAGGAAGACCAGUGGCGAAGGCGGGUCUCUGGACAGUUCCUGACACUGAGACACGAAGGCCAGGGGAGCAAACGGG